rnacentral:lncRNA from 1 species
GCAAUUGUUCAGCGGAUGGAACUCACAAAGGGUCAACUAAGUGAAGAUGGCCUACCGAUCACUACAGGAUCUUUAUCCAGCAGGAACAGGUAUGUGACAAGCUGACAUGAUUUUUUUGUCUUUUGUUAAUAUCUCAUUACAAAUAUUGCAAUUCAGCAAUAAGGGCCAGUCAGGCUUUGUAACAUGGGUUUGAUUGAUGUUGACAGAUUAUUCUGUAGCAAGUCUCCGGUACUGAUAUUGUUUUUGUGUAAUUUGGCUUUGUGUCAGAAUCAAUACGCUGUGCACCAGUCAAGUAUAGAGAAAAUACAAUGGAGUGCUUUGAUGGAUUGAUUAAGGGCUGUGCAAUGUCAUCCUCCGAAAGCCUGUAGGUUACGUGAUUGUGUUGGCCCUGAAUAAUGACUGACCAAAUCAGGGAAACAUGGCUUACUGUUGAUCUUGGACCUUGAUUCUACUCUAGGCAUACAAAGCUGUAUCAGUUUGUUAUGCCAAUCAAUGCAAUACCUGCAACAGGCUAU